UACGGGGGGGGCAAGCGUUGUUCGGAAUUACUGGGCGUAAAGGGCUCGUAGGCGGCCAACUAAGUCAUACGUGAAAUCCCUCGGCUUAACCGGGGAACUGCGUCUGAUACUGGAUGGCUUGAGUUCGGGGGAGGGAUGCGGAAUUCCAGGUGUAGCGGUGAAAUGCGUAGAUAUCGGGAGGAACACCUGUGGCGAAAGCGGCGCACUGGACCACAACUGACGCUGAGGCGCGAAAGCUAGGGGAGCAAACAGG
rnacentral:rRNA from 1 species